UACGAAGGGGGCUAGCGUUGUUCGGAAUUACUGGGCGUAAAGCGCGCGUAGGCGGCGACCUUUGUCAGAGGUGAAAUCCCGAGGCUCAACUUCGGAAUUGCCUUUGAAACGGGGUUGCUUGAGUCCGAGAGAGGAUGGCGGAAUUCCUAGUGUAGAGGUGAAAUUCGUAGAUAUUAGGAAGAACACCGGUGGCGAAGGCGGCCAUCUGGCUCGGUACUGACGCUCAGGCGCGAAAGCUAGGGGAGCAAACGGG
rnacentral:rRNA from 1 species